rnacentral:lncRNA from 1 species
GGGCCUUCACAACCUUUGGGGAACUGACUCAAUGUUUCCUAGAACGAUCUAUGCCUCAUCGUUCUUACGUAGUGGGCCUAAGGCAAUGGGGAGUGUAAAAACCCUGGUGUGCCCAAGGCAUCUUUUCCUUUGCCAAGGGAAAACUCUGCCAUUACCUUUCGGUCUACUACACAUAAGUGACUCCACAUAUCGUUUCUACUUUAAUAAUAGAGUCCACCCCCUGGGGGAUAGACCUCUAUAUGGAUAUGACUUUUUGGGUCAUUCCAUUCACCAAAUGUUCCCCCAUGGUAUUUGGCAAGACAGGGCUCUAUUUUUAGUUGAACCCCAUGCCACCACAUACCUCAGUUUUUGUUUCCCUUAAUACAAGUUCCUAUUAAAAUAAGAUUACAGACUCAGUAACAGAUAUUCAACAAUUAAGACAAGUUUCACGUUCUCGCCAACUGGGCGCCUCCGGUCCAUAUAUCCAUCCAUCUCUGUUCCCUUCUCGUACCUUUUGCUUUAUAUCUGUCCACCUUGAAUGUCGCUGUCACAUCCUGCACUGUCCUCCUUCCUAUCUCCUGUGGGCUCGUGCGUCUGUCCUC